rnacentral:misc_RNA from 1 species
GGAAGUAAAAGUCGUAACAGGGUCUCCGUAGGUGAACCUGCGGAGGGAUCAUCACAGAGUUCAUGCCCUACCGGGUAGAUCUCCCACCCUAUGUUAUUAUUACUUUGUUGCUUUGGCGGGCCGUUAGGCUCCGGCCCGACUACCGGCCCCGGCUGGUAAGCGCCCGCCAGAGGACCCAAAACCCUGAAUAUUAGUGUCGUCUGAGUACUAUAUAAUAGUUAAAACUUUCAACAACGGAUCUCUUGGUUCU